rnacentral:rRNA from 1 species
AAUGAACGUUGGCGGCGUGGAUUAGGCAUGCAAGUCGAACGAGAAGUCUUAGAUUGAAGCUUCGGUUGAUUUCUAAGAUGGACAGUGGCGAAAGGGAGAGUAACGAGUAGAUUACGUACCCAGGGGUUCAGGAUAGCGGGGAGAAAUCGCCGGUAAUACUGAAUAAUGUUUCCGAACCAAAGAUUUAUCGCCCCCGGAUCGGUCUGCUUACUAUUAGUUUGUUGGUGGGGUAAAGGCCUACCAAGACUAAGAUGGUUAGCGGGUGUGAGAGCAUGGCCCGUCUCACUGGGACUGAGACACUGCCCAGACACCUACGGGUGGCUGCAGUCGAGAAUCUUCCGCAAUGGACGAAAGUCUGACGGAGCGACGCCGCGUGCGGGAUGAAGGCCUUCGGGUUGUAAACCGCUGUCAUAGGGGAGGAAAUUUUGACCGAUCCUAAGAGGAAGCACAGGCUAAGUUCG